rfam:Asian citrus Psyllid, Diaphorina citri - Florida Strain, whole genome shotgun sequence.
GUCCUAGCCAGCCUAGUUGGUAGUGCGUCUGCCUUGUAAGCGCUAGGCCGCGGGUUCGAUUCCCGCCCGGGGCG